CAGUCGCCGCGGUAAUACGAGGGGGGCUAGCGUUGUUCGGAUUUACUGGGCGUAAAGGGCGCGUAGGCGGACUGAUAAGUCAGGGGUGAAAUCCCAAGGCUCAACCUCGGAACUGCCUUUGAUACUGUUUGUCUUGAGUUCGAGAGAGGUAAGUGGAACUGCGAGUGUAGAGGUGAAAUUCGUAGAUAUUGGGAGGAACACCGGCGGCGAAGGCGGCUUACUGGACGACAACUGACGUUGAGGCUCGAAGGCGUGGGUAGCAAACAGGAUUAGAUACCCCGGUAGUCCCUGUCUCUUAUAC
rnacentral:rRNA from 1 species